rnacentral:rRNA from 1 species
AGCGAACGCUGGCGGCAGGCUUAACACAUGCAAGUCGAGCGGGCACCUUCGGGUGUCAGCGGCAGACGGGUGAGUAACACGUGGGAACGUACCCUUCGGUUCGGAAUAACGCUGGGAAACUAGCGCUAAUACCGGAUACGCCCUUAUGGGGAAAGGUUUACUGCCGCAGGAUCGGCCCGCGUCUGAUUAGCUAGUUGGUGGGGUAACGGCCUACCAAGGCGACGAUCAGUAGCUGGUCUGAGAGGAUGAUCAGCCACACUGGGACUGAGACACGGCCCAGACUCCUACGGGAGGCAGCAGUGGGGAAUAUUGGACAAUGGGCGCAAGCCUGAUCCAGCCAUGCCGCGUGAGUGAUGAAGGCCUUAGGGUUGUAAAGCUCUUUUGUCCGGGACGAUAAUGACGGUACCGGAAGAAUAAGCCCCGGCUAACUUCGUG